rnacentral:RNase_P_RNA from 1 species
GAGGAAAGUCCGGGCUUAUUAGUAGAAUCUGUUGCAGGAUAAGUUCCUGUACAAGUAAUUGUGAGGCUAGUGCCACAGAAAAAUACCGCUAUAUUUUAGUAAGGGUGCAAAGGUGUGUGCGUCAUAGUUUGUACAUUUUAUGAUCUCCUACAACAAGGCUGGAUAACCAAUACAAGAUUGCAAGAAGCAAAAUUGCUGAAACUUUAUUAUUAGAACACUCAAUGGUAGAAAUCAGAUAUGCUAUUAAUAGCUCCUAAUUGCUAAUUACCGGCCUAAAUUGUGUAUUGUUUAAUCUGUUUCGACAUGAAUUGAUCUUUAUAAGAAAGAACUAAUAAAUUACCAAGUUUUUCUGAGCAUUUCUUGUAUAAAUACAAUCGCAAUGUUCUUUCAACAGCCAAAGCUUAUUGAGUUAAAAGCGCACCAGCAAUGCUGAGAAGUGUUUGCUAGGUAAACCCCAACAACAAGCAAAUUCGUUGAUUAGUUUUAACUACUUAAAAUAGCGAUUAAAAAGUGCACAAAGUUAUAAGCAAUUGUAACUUCAGAUAAAUAACCAUCCUUUUAAAGCCUUUACAAGUACUAUGUGAAUGUUUUAAAAGAACAAAACCCGGCUUAA